rnacentral:lncRNA from 1 species
UGGACUUGCUCAAUUCACAAUAGCGCAAUCGCGUUUGAAAGGACUUUACGUACUCUACAUCCUCUUAUCUCCGCACCAUAAACAUGAGAACACAAUCCUAACUACCUUUCCUUUUCCUCCUCUCAAAUUUUAAGGUUUUGACUAGUCAUUAGAUCUUUAUAUUAUUACUCAAGCCGUUAAUUAAGUUAAGCGUAAGAGAGCAUUACAAAAAAAAAAAAAAAACCUUAUAUACAUAUAUAUUCUUGAAGGUCAUAUCAGUGGCAUUGCCAUUGUUUCAGAAUCCGACUUGCCAUCAUGUCGAAGGCGUGCACAUCCCCUUAAAAGAAAAACCUGUCCAAAAGAAUCCACCCCUUGUUAGUCAAAAUCGCAUCC